GUGUCAGCAGCCGCGGUAAUACGAACUGUGCGAACGUUAUUCGGAAUCACUGGGCUUACAGGGUGCGUAGGCGGCUUGUUAAGUAGGGUGUGAAAGCCCCCGGCUCAACCGGGGAAUUGCGCCCUAAACUGGCGAGCUGGAGUGAGAUAGGGGUGUGUGGAACUUCCGGUGGAGCGGUGAAAUGUGUUGAUAUCGGAAGGAACGCCGGUGGCGAAAGCGACACACUGGAUCUUGUCUGACGCUGAGGCACGAAAGCCAGGGGAGCGAACGGGAUUAGAAACCCCCGUAGUCC
rnacentral:rRNA from 1 species